rnacentral:rRNA from 1 species
GAUGAACGCUGGCGGCGUGCCUAAUACAUGCAAGUCGAGCGAACGGACGAGAAGCUUGCUUCUCUGAUGUUAGCGGCGGACGGGUGAGUAACACGUGGAUAACCUACCUAUAAGACUGGGAUAACUUCGGGAAACCGGAGCUAAUACCGGAUAAUAUUUUGAACCGCAUGGUUCAAAAGUGAAAGACGGUCUUGCUGUCACUUAUAGAUGGAUCCGCGCUGCAUUAGCUAGUUGGUAAGGUAACGGCUUACCAAGGCAACGAUGCAUAGCCGACCUGAGAGGGUGAUCGGCCACACUGGAACUGAGACACGGUCCAGACUCCUACGGGAGGCAGCAGUAGGGAAUCUUCCGCAAUGGGCGAAAGCCUGACGGAGCAACGCCGCGUGAGUGAUGAAGGUCUUCGGAUCGUAAAACUCUGUUAUUAGGGAAGAACAUAUGUGUAAGUAACUGUGCACAUCUCGACGGUACCUAAUCAGAAAGCCACGGCUAACUACGUGCCAGCAGCCGCGGUAAUACGUAGGUGGCAAGCGUUAUCCGGAAUUAUUGGGCGUAAAGCGCGCGUAGGCGGUUUUUUAAGUCUGAUGUGAAAGCCCACGGCUCAACCGUGGAGGGUCAUUGGAAACUGGAAAACUUGAGUGCAGAAGAGGAAAGUGGAAUUCCAUGUGUAGCGGUGAAAUGCGCAGAGAUAUGGAGGAACACCAGUGGCGAAGGCGACUUUCUGGUCUGUAACUGACGCUGAUGUGCGAAAGCGUGGGGAUCAAACAGGAUUAGAUACCCUGGUAGUCCACGCCGUAAACGAUGAGUGCUAAGUGUUAGGGGGUUUCCGCCCCUUAGUGCUGCAGCUAACGCAUUAAGCACUCCGCCUGGGGAGUACGACCGCAAGGUUGAAACUCAAAGGAAUUGACGGGGACCCGCACAAGCGGUGGAGCAUGUGGUUUAAUUCGAAGCAACGCGAAGAACCUUACCAAAUCUUGACAUCCUUUGACAACUCUAGAGAUAGAGCCUUCCCCUUCGGGGGACAAAGUGACAGGUGGCGCAUGGUUGUCGUCAGCUCGUGUCGUGAGAUGUUGGGUUAAGUCCCGCAACGAGCGCAACCCUUAAGCUUAGUUGCCAUCAUUAAGUUGGGCACUCUAAGUUGACUGCCGGUGACAAACCGGAGGAAGGUGGGGAUGACGUCAAAUCAUCAUGCCCCUUAUGAUUUGGGCUACACACGUGCUACAAUGGACAAUACAAAGGGCAGCGAAACCGCGAGGUCAAGCAAAUCCCAUAAAGUUGUUCUCAGUUCGGAUUGUAGUCUGCAACUCGACUACAUGAAGCUGGAAUCGCUAGUAAUCGUAGAUCAGCAUGCUACGGUGAAUACGUUCCCGGGUCU